GCCAUCAAUUUUGUCUAGAAGAGGAAACGACGCAGUUUAAAUGACUCCCACCCCCACCCCCCCUCUCAGCGCGAUGGGUUCUUCCAUGAUGGACUCCUUCUGCGGACGAUAAAAUUCACCGCUGUUUCACAUUAAACUGGGUUUCCGAGCAGAACGCUGGACCUUUGAUGGUUUCUCCUGUAAAAUAUCUGCUUGGCGUUGUGGGGGCUGUUGGUGGCUGUGAAGGGUGAUUGGGUUAAGUUUGGGCGUCACUUUAAUGUUGCUUUAGGAGCAGCAGCAGCAGCAGGAAGCUGCUGUAGAUGGUUCUGGCUCUGUGACCGGACCCGCAGGUUCCAGGUUCCAGGUUCCAGGUCCAGGUUCCACCAGAAAGACCAAAGUUCUGUCCGGGAGGAAAAAGUCACCCUGGAGAAACGCCACACUAGUUAAAGAACAGAGAAGGAUAUGUAGACAAGCAGAACGCAGGUG